UUACGAGUCGGUCGGGUGUGCGAGCUGCAACGAUGUGCUUGUUUGAUCGUGUGUUUUUGUGUUUGCUGUAACGAAAUGUGACUUAGUUCGCGUGCGCAUAAGUGCCACAGACAGCUUGUGUCUCGCUGCAAACUCGCCGUGUGCGUGGCGCGCCAGCCAAAUGUGGACCAACGAUGUUCAUGCCGUGGAGUGCGUUCCCUUUGUCUCUGGUUGUCGUGGAAAGUUGGGUGGACGUCGCGAAGAAUUAAUGCGUGUUGUUAGCGUGCCACUGCUCGUCCACUAUGCACCGGCAUGUCUGCUGGAAGUAACAUCGAAGCACCGGCAACUUGGAGGGCGCUUUUCGACCGCGUCGUGCCAUUCAAAAGUGGUGAAGCCGUGACCCACAACAGUGUCCACAUAACCCGUGGCAAUGGCUGCAGCAGCACGCCGUGUAAUCUGGAUGGACAUGUCAGGUAUGCUUUAAGUGGUACACGUGCACUUACUUCAAGAUGACGACACUCCACCUCAAGAACAGCCUUCCUCAAUGAUAAGUAGCGAGAUUAAGCGAAAGGAAGAUAUCACAUCCGUAACCAGACUGAUACUGUGUUUUCCUUUCAUUUAACCUCCUUCUGCAUUUAAGGAAGCAUUGAUAUGCCCAAUAAAUGUUCUUGUUAAAUUUCU